rnacentral:misc_RNA from 1 species
GAUGAAGAACGUAGCGAAAUGCGAUAAGUAAUGUGAAUUGCAGAAUUCAGUGAAUCAUCGAAUCUUUGAACGCACCUUGCGCCCUUUGGCCAUUCCGAAGGGCAUGCCUGUUUGAGUAUCAUGAACACCUCAACUCUUUAUGGUUUUCCAUGAUGAGCUUGGACUUUGGGGGUUUUGCUGGCCUAUGGUCGGCUCCUCUAAAAUAAAUCAGCUUACCAGUGUUUGGUGGGUAUCAUGGGUGUGAUAACUAUCUACGCUUGUGGUUUUCCCACCAGGUAACCUUCGACAGCGGAGGUUCACUGGAGCUCAUAGAUGUCUCUCCUCAGCGAGGACAGCCCUUUGAAUGUUUGAUCUCAAAUCAGGUAGGACUACCCGCUGAACUUAAGCAUAUCAAUAAGCGAGGA